rnacentral:lncRNA from 1 species
AAACCUUCUCCAAAAUGGAUGAAAUUUGACUCUUUGAAAAGGUUAGAUCAAUAGGAACAACUCUUAUGUUGAACAUGUUUCCAUUUGAAGCUCGUAUCAUGAUGAAUUUUGAGGUGGAAGUUUGGAAAUUUAAACAUAUCAAAAAAGUUUCUAAGUGUCAAGUCAUAUGUUACUUAUUCGAUGGUAUUGGUCCAAAAUGACCUAUAAUGUAUCCU